GAGCAAUUUCCAGAUUCAUUUGUUUUUGUUAAGUCCAGAACCUAUUUUACAUCUUCAUAUUAAUCCCCAUUGGGUUUUUUUUUUUCUUUUUUACAGCUUCAGGCAGCCUCCAUGCCUGUCUGGAUGAUGUAAAGAGAUCUUGAGGCAGAAAUGAAAGGUGAAUAACACACCUGCCCUGGACACCUGUGCACCUUCCCAGUUCCAGAUCAGGCAGUACCUAGCUCAACUGAGAAAAACAAGACAAGGGCCUAUGUGUGUCUCAGGAAAGGUUAAAAGCUCAGUGCCAAUGCAAGGGAUUUUUACAAGCAAAAGUCUCAUUAUUAAUGAGGCCAGAAAACCAAAAUGACAAUGAUCUUUGAUGAUCUGUACUGAUACGCAGGGGAAGUUUAGCUGUCUUUGAGUUUGCUGGAGUGAAAAGAAAUAUCCCAAGUGUGACUGGGAAGAGAAGACCCGGGACAGGCCAGAAACUGGAGUGAGGAAGAAAGAACCACAGAAUAUUAAUGUAAUGAAUAACUUUCAAGUCCUAUCUGGUCCAUGUCCUGGCAAAGUCCCUUGGGGUCUCUCCCCUGCUUUCCGUUCAUCAGGAUGACUGAGCUCAGUAAUU
rnacentral:lncRNA from 1 species